rnacentral:Y_RNA from 1 species
GGUGGUCCCAGCGCAAUGGUGUUUACAACUAAUUGGCCACAAUCAGCUACAGGUUUCUUCAUUCCUUCUCCUUUCCCACUGCUUCACUUGAAUGGCCUUUA